rnacentral:rRNA from 1 species
UACGUAGGGGGCGAGCGUUGUCCGGAAUUAUUGGGCGUAAAGAGCGUGUAGGCGGUUCGGUAAGUCUGCCGUGAAAGUCGGGGGCUCAACCCUCGAAUGCCGGUGGAUACUGUCGGGCUGGAGUGCGGAAGAGGCGAGUGGAAUUCCUGGUGUAGCGGUGAAAUGCGCAGAUAUCAGGAGGAACACCAAUUGCGAAGGCAGCUCGCUGGGACGUGACUGACGCUGAGACGCGAAAGCGUGGGGAGCAAACAGG